UUGGCAAACGUUGUUACUAUGCUAUGCAGGUCUACAAAACAGCUUUGGACUGUACAUGGACAGAAGACUGCUUGUUUGCAAACUUGGUUUAGAUUUUUGGGAGCUGCACUGCAAGUGUCUGGCAAGUGAUUUCCAUUUUAUCAUCUUGUCAAGUCCUUCUACUGAAGAGAGAACCUGCAAUAGAGUCACAAUUUGAAAUGGGAGUGGGGCAGGGAGGCAGAGAAAGGGGAAGAGGUAAAUAAUGGGAAAAAGAAGUCAGUUAAUAUUUUAAAGUAUUUCAUGUGCAGCAAAUUAUAAACAGAUACUCUUUUCACUAUGGAGUGCUAACAAUUAUAACACAAUUUUCUUCAAGGGGAAACUUGAAUCUUCAUAUUCUAUGCAUUUUCCCCUGAGAUAUAUUUGCAAAGCAGAAAAUUCAGACACACUAUGUCAGCCUUUCAAUGGAAUGGUUUUACCUGAAGGAAGGGGCCCCCAUCUGCCCUUCAUUCCUCCUAUGAGGUGGCUGAUCUACAUAGAGAACUACUUUUGCUUUGGGAGGACUGAAUCCAGGUCAGAGCUCGGAAAACCCACAAUAUGCUCCACAACUAAAUGUCUGAGUUAGAAGUGGUGAGUAUGUGGCAUGCAUUCUACCAACAGGCAGCUCUCUUUGCAGACAACAGACAUCACUAAUCUAUUGCAGUACUUUUUCCUACCAAAGCUAGAGGCAGCCUUGGCAUUUUUGUCAAGAAUCGAUCUCUGAUUCAGUUUUGCUAUUAUUCUUGGUCUAGAAAGUCAACUUGAAUCUAAGGAAUGCAAUUUUAAAAUAAAUACAUAUAAAUAUUAUAUGUAUGUUAAAUACUUUUAAUAUUUUCCACUUACUAGUCAUGCAAUAUAGGAACUUUAUCUUUGGACCCUUUCUCUUCAGAGGUCCUGUCCUUUUUGAAUUCUGGGCAGUAGCUGCACGGGGAGCUGCUGAAAGUUAGGGUGCCUCUGGGAUUGAGAGUUACCGGAUGUUUUUCUAUCUCUUAAUUAUCUGCAAUAUUUGCCUUCAGUGGAUAUAAUUAACUGUACCUGGACAAUAACAUUUACGUAAAAUCAUAAUGCAUCCUAUGUGUAUGUUGGGUUGCAAACAAUGUUAAAAUACUUAUUCAGUUUUAAAAAAAUGAUAUGGAAAACAUUGUUCUGCUUGCCAAUGCUUGGUCAGGUUUUUUCAUCUUGUUAGUCUUGCUAAGCGCCACUUAAAGUCUACUCAGAAUCCAGGGCAUUUAUUAUCUCUUAAUCCUUACAUUAAUUGGAUAUAGAUUUUGCAAUGUGGCUCUAUUUGCUUGCAGGUUACAUGCCUAUUCCCUUCAAUGCCAGCAGUGUCUUUAGAAUCUUCUUUUCAUCCCACACCUAAGUGGAACCCUGCCCUUGCUGAGGUGAGUGCUUUCCCAAUUAUCCUCGUUGGCCUGUUUUUCAAUUUAGCUUUCUCACCUAUUUACAGUGAGACAUGUUGACCAGGUACUCAUAUGCUAUUUCAGCACAGAUGCUAAUAUUAGGAUAAAGAAAACAAAGUAAUAUUGUCCCCUCCACCUCUUUUUUUUUGGGGGGGCUGGAUUUAGCUCAUUCCUCAGAAAUUGUUUUGGUACCUUCCCACGGAUAUCAAGUGUCAUAUUUUAGAGGCUAGCACGGUUUGUUUUAUAAAUAGGAGGCUGAAGCUCAUUGGGUGAUGUUUGCAAUGCAUUACCACUGGCCAAUUACUUAAUUACUGAAAGGCCAGUAAAUCCUGCUGAGUUUUACACAUUAUUACAGAGACAGAAGUAAAGUCAAGGUCACUGACCAGAGGAGGUGUUUAACUGUCAGUUGGAUGGUGUCUAAUCAAUAACCAAAGCAAACAGUUUACACACAAUCAGAUAUGACUGGCAGACAUUUAUUGAACAUUUGCCAUUGAACAUCAUGCUAGAUCUUGGGAACAGAAAGUUAUGCAAACAUGACUUCUGCCUUUGAAAGUCCUGUAGUCUUUCCUGAGAUGUAGAGCCUACUUGCAGAGAGCUGAUUAUGUGAGGGAGAGUACCUGAAUUGGUAGAAGUCUAUCUUAUCUGGGCUCAGAUGCAGGUCUGAUUCUAGGUCCUGGGCCAUGGGAGAAAGCCUGAUGGAAGGCAAGGUUUGAGGGCCUCUCAAGCAAGUGUGGGGCUUGGGUGGUGUUGGGUAAACAUAUAACGCAGCAGCACCCCAGAGAAAAACCCCAGCAUGGCGUCUAACGACCCUGUUUCUCCUCUUUGUUUCUUUCACUGGCACGAAACGUUUCCACCAGCGCCAAUGUUCAAACCCUGCUGGUGGGAAGCCUUAGCCCCAAUUAGAAUUAACAUCUUGGGCUCCGGAACUGACAUAUGGAAGAGCUUGCCAAUAAAUGGGAGACCUGUUAUCUACCUUAGCCCCUGCUACCUCUCUUAGACCUAUAUAAACACACAGCCUUUUGUAAUAAAGCGGAAACCUCUAUGGUAAUCUGUGUCAUGUGGUGCGGCGUCUUCCAGUCUUACAGUGGUGCCAGAAACCGGGGAGACGGUGUGCUCGACAAACCGAGCCCCGCUUCUGCCACCGCCGUCACCAACGACACAUUUUGCCCUUGUCUGUCUUUUUGGGUGCGGGCUUCCUGCACUCACCACUGAUCGGGUCUAGGUAAGGUUCCCCCUCCCCGGCUCGCCAACUCCCUUCAGGUUAGCACUCUCCUGACGACCGGUAGGGAGGAGGGAAUACACCCCACUAAGACCUUCACUGGUUGAAGUGGACCCUCUGGCGACCCACUUCCCUUUGAGGCGUGAGGCUUCUGGAUUUACAGAGAGAGGCUCCCUGGUCUCUUCCUCCUCUGCAGAGCUGCGCACCGCGGGAGCUGCGCGCCCCGCCCGGCCCGCGGGCCCGGGGCUGCUCGCCCCGCGCGCCCUGCUGGCCGGGAGCCGUGCGCCUCGCCCGGCCCAGAGCUGCGCACGCCCCCGCCCAGAGGAGCCGCUGUGCCCUCUGUGCCUACUCGCAGUGGACUGGUCACUUCGGGGACGCCCAGGUGAUCCUCCAUCUGCUCUACGCUUCCAGGAAGCCUCUACUGCCCGGGUUAAUUCUUUUUCUCCCUUUUCUGUCCCUUCCUCCACUCUUUAACCACUGGUGCCUCCUCGCCUAUACCGGAAGCCUCACCACUCAAGUGUCUCCUUAAGAAUUUGGCUACUCUCUCUCUCCCCCCGGACCUCAAGCCCCAAAUUCUUAUCAGAUUCUGUACCCAAGAUUGGCCCACAUAUCAGCUAGAUAAUGACAAUCAUUGGCCUCCAGAAGGCUCCUUAGAUCCAAAUUUCCUCCGGGACCUUUUAACUAUUGCCAGCGCCUGAAAGGGUAGAAAGAGUUCCCAGGCCCCCUCCCCGUCCUGCCUUCUGCUCUCUGUUCCCAACCUUCCCCUCUGCGCACUACCUGCGCACUCCCCCCUCCUCUUCCUCCACGUCCCCUCCCUCUCCCUGUUGCAGCCGCCCCUGUGGCCCUGCCUGUGCACUUCCCCUCCUCUUCUGCGGAGACAUCCCCCUCCCCUCCCUUUUCUUCCUGGCCGCCGCCACCACCGCCGCCACCGCCCAUGGCUCUGUCUGCGCGCUUCUAGUCUGCCUGGCCACCAGACACGUGCGCGGCGAGCGAAAUGGGCCGGUAGUGUGCCCUCGUCGGCUUGGAGAGGCCUCGGGAUCCCAUCUCAGCCGGCGGGUGAGCCGCUAUCCUUCACCUUCCUUGCGCCACAGCAGCUUUUGCACGAGCCCCCGACUUGCGCGCCCCUCACUUUGCCGCCUGGUUCCAACGGGCAGGCAGGAUGGGUCCCACCUGGCUGCAAUGGGUGGGAUCUCCGGAUCCCUCUGAGCCUCUCCUCCUCCCCCAACUCUGCUCACCUCUUCUACUGAUAAGCCCUUCCCCUCCCCCUACUCACGCCUCUCUUCUCCUGUCAGUGCUUCACUGAUCCCACUUAUCAGAUAACUCACAGUUCCUUUGUUCUGUCAGGGAAGUAGCUGGUGCUGAAGGCAUAGUCCAAGUGCACAUCCCAUAACUGAACCUAACUGGGACUGCGUACAAGCAGUUUCUAAUAAGGCAGUUAACUUUGAUAAACUGAAGGACAUUACCCAGAACCCUGAUGAAAAUCCAUCCUUAUUUCUCAACUGCCUUACAGAGGCCCUAACCAAAUACAUUAAGCUAGAUCUUGAGUCUCCCAUCAGGGCUACAGUGUUAGCAACCCAUUUCAUUACUCAAUCGGCUCAUGAUAUUAGAAAAAGCUCAAAUGAGCUGAGGAGGACUAUUGGACUCCUAUCUAAGAUCUGGUGAAAAUGGCUUUUAAAGCAGGCUCCAUUGCAGAAAAGAAGGUAACACCCCAAACUCAGGCCUUGACAGCAGCCCUGAGGCCUACAUCUCCAGCAAAAGUUUCAGAGGGGAACCAGCAUUCUUCUCCACCAGAGGCUUGCCUCAAAUAUGGAUGCGAAGAUUACUGGGCUCGCCAAUGCCCAAACCCACGGCCUCCUUCCAGGCCAUGCCCCACCUGUAAGCAGACAGGAUAUUGGAAGAUUGAUUGCCUCUGGCUGGCCCUUCCUUGGUGCCUCUACGCAGGGGGUAUGACCAGUCAGGCAGUCCCCUCUCCUGAACUUUCGGGGUUUGCAGAAGACUGAAGAAGCCCAGAUUCAAAGACCCCCCCAGCCCUCUCUGAGCCCAGGGUAAUGCUCCAGGCAGCGGGUAAGUCCAUAACCUUCCUUGUGGACACGGGGGCUACCUAUUCUGUCUUGUCUGCCCAUUCUAGGCCUCUGUCUUCUUCCCAGGUCUCAGUUAUGGGGAUUGAUAACAAACCCUUCUCCCCAAACAGAACUGUAAAGCUGGCCUGUGCCCUGGAGGGACACCCAUUCACUCACUAUUCUGAUCAUUCCAUCCUGUCAGUUCCUCUCCUAGGCAGAGAUGUUCUCCAAUUAUUAGGAGCUACCCUCCAGUUAUACCCCAAGAAUACUACCACCCAUCUCCUUUGUCCUUUAACUCUUACCCUCUCUAAUGACCUGACAAUACCUACUGUGCCAUUGCCCCCUGAUCCCUAGGUCUGAGACAUUUCCAUGCUGGCUAUUGCCUCCCACCACAAGCCAGUCCAUACCCAGCUGAAACACCAAAUUAAACUUCCUUGUGUUCCCAAUUUCCUAUCUCCAAAACCCAUAGGGAGGGAUUUAAGCCCAUUAUACACUGGUUGCUGGCCCAGGGACUCCCAAUCCUUACUGACUCCCCCUGUAAUACUCCUAUAUUUCUGGUGCGCAAACCCUCCAGAGCCUAUCGCUUAGUCCAGGAACUCCACCUAAUUAAUGAGGCAGUUAUUCCCAUCCACUCGGUUUCCAACCUUCAUACUUUUCUUUCUCAUAUCCCCCUUUGACCAUUCACUUCACUGUCCUGGAUCUUAAAGCUGAUUUCUUUACAGUGCCUCUGCAUCCUGACUCUUAUUACCUCUUUGCCUUCACAUGGGAAGACCUUACAUUCUUUAGGUUUCAACAGCUGACAUGGACAGGCCUACUCCAAGGCUUCAGGGACAGUCCCUACCACUUUGGUCAGGCCUUGACACAGGAUUUAACUGUUUGUAAUUUGGGGAUAGCACUCUCUUACAGUUGGAUAGAAGCCUUCCCUACCUCCAGGAAAACUGCUGACACCAUUGGAAACUGCUGACACUGUCACCUCCAUCCUCGUUGAGCAGAUCAUUCCUAGGUUCGAACUUCCUGCCUCCAUCCAGUCAGACAACAGUCCAGCCUUCAUUUCUCAGAUUGUUUAACUAGUUUCCAAAGGCCUUAACAGCAGUUGGAGGCCCCACAUCCCACACUGACCCCAAUCCUCGGGUAAGGUUGAGAGGCCUAAUGGCAUUCUCAAGGAUCAUCUCACUAAACUUGCUAUUGAACGCAGACUGUCCUGGCCCAAUCUUUUGCCAUUGGCCCUCACCCAAAUUCGGGCAACUCCUAGAGCCCCCUCAGGCCUUAGCCCCUUUGAGCUGUUCUAUGGAUGCCUUUCUUAACCAACUAAAACUUUCCUGUCACUCCUCCCCCCCUUGUGUCCCACCUGCCCUAUCUCAUGCUUCUAUACAAACUCCUAAGAGAACACGCACACUGGUGUCUUCCUGCACCAUCUGUUACUUCUGUUCCAGCACAAUCAGGAAUUAAAUAGGACCCUCUUCAACCGGGUGAUGCAGUUUUACUUCGAGAGCUACAUUCUCAGUCGUUGAAACCUCACUGGACAGGACCCCAUACAGUCAUAUUUCUGCCAUGCCGGGGCCCACCAAACUCAAAGUUUCUCUCCAACCCUCUCCUAUUACUAAUCAUUAAUCUCUCUCAAGCUUCUAUCCCAACCCACAGAUGGCGCUUCUACAUCCAAGCGACAUGGCAACAGGAUGGCACCAUCCGCUCUCAGUCUAUGGGCCAAGGCGAUUGGCCUUUCACUGGCUGUAAUCGAGCCCUUAAUGUUACUGGAUUCAACUGGGCCACCUCCUCCCACUUAUGUUCAGCAAUGCUAUGCUUCAUAGCAGAUCAAACUGAGGAAUCCUGUUGAAGCCAUAUCACCAGGAGGCUGCCCCACCUGCUGAUGACAAGACUACCCCAGAGGAGCCUUAAGAGUCACCUCCUAGACCUCCCCUUUACUCCUACUCUCCACUUCCUAACUAUCCUCUAAAGCUUCGCCUGUCUCGUGUAACCGCCCAUACUCCACCAUGACUCCCACUCUUUUAAGUGGUAUUUUUAUAGUCAUCACCCUUCUCCAGGGGACAUCAUCGUCCUCCUCUUAUACUUGGAGAUUCAAAGUCAGAGAGACAUAUGUCCAAGGCAACACUCGUUACACUCACCUAGUUUCUUCGGUUGAUUGCGCCCCUACGGGAUGUAAUGCAUCUAUCUUCCUUUCCCUCUCCUCCCAGAAUUCUGAACUUUUAAAAAAAGCAGCUAGGCCUUACCUUUGCUUCUUAUAUGAUCAGACAGAGGAUUACUGCAAAUAGUGGCCCGAAACUUAUGGAGGAUGCCCCUACUGGUCAUGUAACGUUCAUAACCCACGUGCAUGCAUCAGGGAUUCCUGUGUUGGAAAUUUCAGAUUGAUCUCAGGGGGCUAUCAAUUGGCUAUCACUGAACCUAACCAUCCAUGCUGGACUUCUAGGGUAAAUGCUGCCUUCUACUGUGACAUAUCCUCUCCCACCCCCUGUGGCUCCAUCUCCAUCUCCCGAGAGCUUCAACCCUCCCAGCCCUCAGUAGCUAAUCUCUAAUGACAUAAAGCAUUCCGAAUAGCAGUUGUUAGAAUCCAUACAGGAUCCAUAUGAGCCUAAUGUCAGGAGUCCACUACAGUAUUCAUGGCUAUGACUACUCACUGAAACUGUAACCUUCUUAAAUCUAACCCUCCCCGCCAUCACACCAACUGAUUGAUACUUAUGCGCCUCUCUGACUCAACCUUUGCUUGGUUCCCUUGAAUUUCUCGGCUUCUGACCUCUCAAAUUUCUCCACUCCAUCUGCCCGCCAUUCUCUCCAAACCCUUUCACCCGACGCUCCAUUAUGGGAGCCCGAGGAGUCUAAUCAUACUGUGAUUCCCUGGCGCUGCCUCCUGGGCUUGGGUGUCUCCCAGUCAAAGUUUGGCCACUCUAACAUCACCUUUAACUCCACCCUCUAUGCACCACCUGGCUCAUUCUUCUGGUGUAAUGGUUCUCUUUCACUAUCUUAUUCACCAACACAUCUACCCCAUGUAUACUGGUGACGCUUGUCCUGCAAUUGACUCUCUAUACCCCAGCUGAAGUGUAGGCCCUCUUGUCUCCCCCAGUGCAGAAUAAGCGGGCUGCUUUCCUUCCAAUACUGGUGGGGGUCUCUCACUGGCUGUAUCUGCAGUGGGAGCCGGAAUUUCUGGUGGAGCUCUAGGACACUCCUUAUGGGCUGUACAGGACUUAAGUUCUAAACUUGAACAAGCGCUCACUUCUAUGGCAGAAUCUCUAGCAUCUUUACAAAGGCAGGUCACAUCCUUGGCUCAAGUUACUCUUCAAAAUUGACGAGCUAUAGACUUAGUCACAGCUGAAAAAGGUGGAACCUGUCUUUUCUUGGGGGAAGAAUGCUGUUACUACAUCAACGAAUCAGGCCUUGUGGAAACUAAUGUAGUCAAGCUCACCGACUUGGCUACCUCUGAAAAAUCCACCAAACCAAAACCCAUUUGCCACCUUCUUUUUAGUUCCAAUCGUGGCUGUUGCCUCUUUUAGGGCCCAUAUGCAUUCUUUUCCUGAUGUGUCUGUUCCUGCCCUGUCUGCUUUGCUUCCUACAGGGCCAAUUAUGGAAGAUCUCUAACCAAAUUUUCAACCAGCCUCUGCUUAGGUACUACCAGCCUCUGAUGACCGAUGAGCCCCCAACAUCUUCAAGAGAACAGCUCACUCAUUGCUGAAGCUCACUACCAGGCACAAUGGAAUGCAAUGGACAUCGGACAGCGGGAGACCACGAGCCCAGAGAACCUCUUAAUCUGCCAUCCUGGAUUCUUGAGCCUUUAUGUCCUUUUAAGCCUCCUCAUGGCCCUUGGCCUCUUCUCUGUCAGUCCCCCGACAUGGAACUUCUGCCAAAAACUGACAUUUGCUUUAAUUUUUGUCUUCAUGCUGUUUUUGUUCGCUCUGAUGUUCUUCAGGUGCUGGUGAUGCCAUGACAAGGCAAUGCUUCCAAUAUUUCCUAGAGUCUCUGUUACAGGACCAGUGGCUGAUACCAACAAUCUCCUCCAUCCAGGACUGGUUUGAUGCCAUUGACGACUUGUGGUUUCAGGGAACUUUCAUAGACUUCACCCCUACGGAAGUAGCUGUCUAUAGCCACUGGGUUUUAUUUCUGGUUGCCAUGAUAUCCCCAGACCUGCCACCCCCCCCCACCCCAACAUUCCUCCACUUCUCCUUCUAGGCACUACGCCGCCCCCGCACAGCUAGAAGCAGCCAGAUCUGACCAACGACGCCCCAGUUCCUAAGAAAACAAAAAGGGAGGAAUGUUGGGUAAACAUAUAAUGGCAGCAGCACCCCAGAGAAAAACCCCAGCAUGGCGUCUAACGACCCUGUUUCUCCUCUUUGUUUCUUUCACUGGUGCGAAACGUUCCCGCCGGCGCCAAUGUUCAAACCCUGCUGGUGGGAAGCCUUAGCCCCAAUUAGAAUUAACUUCUUGGGCUCCGGAACUGACAUAUGGAAGUGCUUGCCAAUAAACGGGUGACCUGUUAUCUACCUCAGCCCCUGCUACCUCUCUUAGACCUAUAUAAACACACAGCCUUUUGUAAUAAAGUGGAAACCUCUUUGGUAAUCUGUGUCUUGUGGUGCGGCGUCUUACAGUCUUACAGGUGGGACGCACUGUGCUGUGGGAGUGUUGGUGAAGACCACAGAUCUAGGAGAGGCAUUCUGGCUUCUGAGGGACUAUGAGGGUUUUAUCUGCCUGAAAACAAGGGAGGCUGAAGAAACAGAUCAGGGUCAGACCUCAGAUGCCCUUGAAUUCUAGUUUGUGGCAUACUGAACUUCUGAUGGUGAUGAUGGAACUUUUGAUGAUAGUUUUUUUUAUGGCUUUUUAAAAAGAUUAGUCUGUCAGUGUUUUAUAGAAAGAACUGGAGUAGCAGGAACACUAGUGGUAGGGGAAACAUUGAGGAAACAUUAAAUUACAAUUAUAGAUGAUAUAUAUAAAAGCAAAGGGGGCUGGGGAUGUGGCUCAAGCAGUAGCGCGCUCCCUGGCAUGCUUGCGGCCCAGGUUCGAUCCUCAGCACCACAUACAAACAAAGAUGUUGUGUCCACCGAGAACUAAAAAAUAAAUAUUAAAAAAAAUUCUCUCUCUCUCUCUCUCUCUCUCUCUCUCUCUCUCUCUCCCCUCCCUCUCUCCCUCUCUCUCUCUCUUUAAAAAAAAAAAAGAGC
rnacentral:lncRNA from 1 species